AAAGGAAUUGACGGGGGCCCGCACAAGCAGUGGAGUAUGUGGUUUAAUUCGAAGCAACGCGAAGAACCUUACCAGGUCUUGACAUCCUAGGAAUCCUUAAGAGAUUAGGGAGUGCCUUUCGGGGAAUCUAGAGACAGGUGGUGCAUGGUUGUCGUCAGCUCGUGUCGUGAGAUGUUGGGUUAAGUCCCGCAACGAGCGCAACCCUUAUCAUUAGUUGCUACGCAAGAGCACUCUAAUGAGACUGCCGUUGACAAAACGGAGGAAGGUGGGGAUGACGUCAAAUCAUCAUGCCCCUUAUGACCUGGGCUACACACGUACUACAAUGGCAAUUAACAGCAGGAAGCAAUACGGUGACGUGGAGCAAAUCCUCAAAAAUUGUCUCAGUUCAGAUUGUAGGCUGCAACUCGCCUACAUGAAGAUGGAAUUGCUAGUAAUCGCAGAUCAGCAUGCUGCGGUGAAUACGUUCCCGGGCCUUGUACACACCGCCCGU
rnacentral:rRNA from 1 species